CCUACGUGGAGCUGCAGUGGGGAAUAUUGGACAAUGGGCGAAAGCCUGAUCCAGCCAUGCCGCGUGUGUGAAGAAGGCCUUCGGGUUGUAAAGCACUUUCAGUGGGGAAGAAAGCCUUGGGGCUAAUACCCUCGAGGAAGGACAUCACCCACAGAAGAAGCACCGGCUAACUCCGUGCCAGCAGCCGCGGUAAUACGGAGGGUGCGAGCGUUAAUCGGAAUUACUGGGCGUAAAGCGCGCGUAGGCGGUCUGAUAAGCCGGUUGUGAAAGCCCCGGACUCAACCUGGGAACGGCAUCCGGAACUGUCAGGCUAGAGUGCAGGAGAGGAAGGUAGAAUUCCCGGUGUAGCGGUGAAAUGCGUAGAGAUCGGGAGGAAUACCAGUGGCGAAGGCGGCCUUCUGGACUGACACUGACGCUGAGGUGCGAAAGCGUGGGUAGCAAACAGGAUUAGAUACCCUGGUAGUC
rnacentral:rRNA from 1 species